CCCUACGACAUAAAUAAAAACUAAUUCUCUAACUUAACUUGUUUUUGGUUGGGGCGACCAAGGGGAAAAGAAAAACCCCCUUAUCGAAUGUGUGAAAUUCACUUAAAAACUAGAGCUACAGCUCUAAUUAAUAGAAAAUCUAACGAACAAUGACCCAGGAACAUUCCUAUUCCUGAUCAAUGAACCAAGUUACCCUAGGAAUAA
rnacentral:rRNA from 1 species